GAGAAGUAGGACUGUAACUUGGAGAUGUAGGGCUGUAACUUGGAGAGGUAGGGCUAUAGCUUGGUGAGGUUGGAGAAUAUGAGGGGCUGGUAGGAGAGUAGGCUGGACUUGUCGGACUGUAUCCUGGUGAGCUAGGACUGUAAGUAGGUGAUGUGGGGCUGUAACCAGGAGAGGUGGGACUGUACCCAGGAGAUGUAGGACUGUAACCAGGAGAGGUAGGACUGUAACCAGGUGAUGACGGACUGUAUCCAGGAGAUGAUGGGCUGUAACCAGGGGAUGACGUAGGAGAGAAUGCCAUUCCACCAACAUAAGGUGAGAACUGUGCAUCUGAAAUGGGUGAGAGACGAAGAUUUGGGCUCAGCAAGUAACUUGGAGACAUCAUGCCUUCAUGAUAAGGAGUUCCUG
rnacentral:lncRNA from 1 species